ACGAUGAACGGGAGCUUGCUCCCUGGAUUAGUGGCGAACGGGUGAGUAACACGUGAGUAACCUGCCCUUGACUCUGGGAUAAGCACUGGAAACGGUGUCUAAUACCGGAUACGAACCUCCACUGCAUGGUGAGGGGUUGGAAAGAAUUUUGGUCAAGGAUGGACUCGCGGCCUAUCAGCUAGUUGGUGAGGUAAUGGCCCACCAAGGCGACGACGGGUAGCCGGCCUGAGAGGGUGACCGGCCACACUGGGACUGAGACACGGCCCAGACUCCUACGGGAGGCAGCAGUGGGGAAUAUUGCACAAUGGGCGCAAGCCUGAUGCAGCAACGCCGCGUGAGGGACGACGGCCUUCGGGUUGUAAACCUCUUUUAGUAGGGAAGAAGCGAAAGUGACGGUACCUGCAGAAAAAGCACCGGCUAACUACGUGCCAGCAGCCGCGGUAAUACGUAGGGUGCAAGCGUUAUCCGGAAUUAUUGGGCGUAAAGAGCUCGUAGGCGGUUUGUCGCGUCUGCUGUGAAAACUGGGGGCUCAACCCCCAGCCUGCAGUGGGUACGGGCAGACUAGAGUGCGGUAGGGGAGAUUGGAAUUCCUGGUGUAGCGGUGGAAUGCGCAGAUAUCAGGAGGAACACCAAUGGCGAAGGCAGAUCUCUGGGCCGUAACUGACGCUGAGGAGCGAAAGCAUGGGGAGCGAACAGGAUUAGAUACCCUGGUAGUCCAUGCCGUAAACGUUGGGAACUAGAUGUAGGGUCCAUUCCACGGAUUCUGUGUCGCAGCUAACGCAUUAAGUU
rnacentral:rRNA from 1 species